CCUACGGGGGGCAGCAGUGAGGAAUAUUGGUCAAUGGACGAGAGUCUGAACCAGCCAAGUAGCGUGAAGGAUGACUGCCCUAUGGGUUGUAAACUUCUUUUAUAUGGGAAUAAAACGUUCCACGUGUGGGAUUUUGUAUGUACCAUAUGAAUAAGGAUCGGCUAACUCCGUGCCAGCAGCCGCGGUAAUACGGAGGAUCCGAGCGUUAUCCGGAUUUAUUGGGUUUAAAGGGAGCGUAGGUGGAUUGUUAAGUCAGUUGUGAAAGUUUGCGGCUCAACCGUAAAAUUGCAGUUGAAACUGGCAGUCUUGAGUACAGUAGAGGUGGGCGGAAUUCGUGGGGUAGCGGUGAAAUGCUUAGAUAUCACGAAGAACUCCGAUUGCGAAGGCAGUUCACUGGACUGCAACUGACACUGAGGCUCGAAAGUGUGGGUAUCAAACAGGAUUAGAUACCCGAGUAGUC
rnacentral:rRNA from 1 species